ACAGGUACUGUCAUUAUCAUCCCUGGCGAAAGUGCUUUACGACCCUAAGGCCUUNNNNNNNNNCGGCAUGGCUAGAUCAGGCUUGCGCCCAUUGNNNAAGAUUCCCCACUGCUGCCUCCCGUAGGAGUCUGGGCCGUGUCUCAGUCCCAGUGUUGCUGAUCAUCCUCUAAAACCAGCUAAAGAUCGUAGACUUGGUAGGCCAUUACCCCACCAACUAUCUAAUCUUACGCGGGCUGAUCCUUCUCCGAUAAAUCUUUCCCCCGAAGGGCGUAUAUGGUAUUACUCUCAGUUUCCCGAGGCUAUUCCAUAGAGAAGGGUACAUUCCCACGCGUUACUAACCCGUCCGCCGCUCGCCCCGAAGGGUGCGCUCGACUUGCAUGUGUUAGGCCUGCCGCCAGCGUUCGUUCUGAGCCAGGAUCAAACUCUA
rnacentral:rRNA from 1 species